rnacentral:lncRNA from 1 species
UUAAAUGACAGUGAAGAUAAUCACAGUUAAGUUUACUGGCCUUGUUUCUGAGAGUUGUGAACCCAAGUGAUUAUUUCAAGAAGAGAAAAUGAAAGAAAAAGAAUGAAGAGGAAAAAAAACCCACAUGAUUCAGAGCUCUUGAAGUAAACAGGACAGUUACUGUAGCUAACCAUGUCUUUAAGGGGUUAAGUAAGAAGUCUCCCUAACACCCAGCUUCCAAGGCACGGUUCCUCCAUGGCAUUUCUCGCAUGCUUAUGAUAAUCAAAAGAUACUGAAAGCCGAUUCUAUUUUAUUCUGGUAUAAUUGCAAUACAACCACUAGAGGAAUUGCAACCAUUAUGCAAGAUGAGACACCAUCACAGUGGGACCUGCUGUUUCCAAUGGAUUCUACCAACUCGUUUUUAUAGAUUUCAGCUACCUUUCAUUUUAGUAAUUAGCCACCAUUUCCAAGGAGAUCCAUAAGUAAUUUCCUGCCCAUCUUGAGCUAUAAUGCUACAAGAUUACACUAGCAACUGAACAUAGUUUAAAAGCAGUCAACAAAAGGCAGACAGCAACAAAGGGAGUCAGGCACACUAAAAAGUUAAGAAGUCAAGCAAAAGCGGGAAAACAUUAUUUCUUUUAACCACAGGUAAAGGUCAGCGCCUUCUAAAUCCGUUUGACCACUACAAAGCGCACUGCCAUACCCUGGAAAAACCAAUAGCAAUUCCUUCCAAACCCCCAAAUAUUGCGGGAGUCUAUUAAUGAGAAGCAAAUUGAAGUGCUUUCGUCUUCAGUCAAAGCACCACUAAUGUAACAGACCCAAGGGGUCGGUGGCCUUAGGGGAGGAUUCUGCCCCAAGGGACGCUCUUUGGUACUCUUCGGUAAAACAUUACCCGAAGAGGGAAGGUGCUCUGGAGGAAUCUCAGCUGGUUCGGAGGACAGGUGCACUCAGAACUUCCAGUCACCAGGGAUGCAGAGAGGUGCCCAGAUCACAGCACCCAGCGCUGUAGCAGGGAACCUUGUAACUGAUCCUAGCAGAAUGGAAUGAGGAGCCCAGAAGUGCAGGGGCAAACACAUGCAGUUCCCAGAGAUGAGAGCUGACCUGGAAAAAACAAGGUGUGUGGUAUAGAUGUAACAGCUUCUCUACAGCUUACACCUAGAAAGCAUUCAUACACAUAGGGAGAGAGCAGAGGUACAGAAAGGUUUAAAAAUAAAGAACCAAUAAAAAUCA